rnacentral:tRNA from 1 species
GCCGAAGUGGCGGAAUUGGUAGACGCGCUAGGUUCAGGGUCUAGUGAGCGUACGCUUGUCCGGGUUCAAAUCCCGGCUUCGGCACCA